AUUCCAGAAAGCAUCUCUGGAAUGCACAUUGCGUGACACAGAGGCACAAUACUCUAUGCAGCUCCAAGGCCUCCAGAAUCAGGUGUGCAGCCUGGAAGGCCAGCUGGAACAGCUUCGUGGUGAUAUCGAAAAACCAGAGCCAAGAAUACAGAAUGUUGCUCGACAUCAAGACUCGAUUGGAGAUGGAAAUUGUAGAGUACAGGAGGCUUUUGGAUGGAGAGGGCAGUAUGAUUUGUGGCAGCAGUUCAAGGAGCACCACCACAAAGGUGAUAGUGGUCACAGAGGAGUUGAAGGAUGGCAAGGUGGUGUCCUCCACCACCACCUCUUAAUCUGCCUCAGGAAGCAAAACAUGGAGCAACAACUGAGAGCCACAAGCACAACACCUGAACCAAAAUGUCCUUCACAUACUCAUGUGAAUGCAAUAAAAAGCUGCACGUUUGCUCCCUUCUAA